rnacentral:rRNA from 1 species
AGCGAACGCUAGCGGAUGGCUUAACACAUGCAAGUCGAGCGGGCAGCUUCGGCUGUCCAGCGGCGAACGGGUGCGUAACACGUGGGUAAUUUGCCUUCUGGUGGGGGAUAACCCGACGAAAGUCGGGCUAAUACCGCAUAUGGCCUACGGGUCAAAGCAGCAAUGCGCCAGUUGAUGAGCCCGCGGCCCAUUAUUUAAUCCUAGUUGGCGGGGUAACGGCCCACCAAGGGUACGAUGGGUAGCUGGUCUGAGAGGACGAUCAGCCACACUGGGACUGAGACACGGCCCAGACUCCUACGGGAGGCAGCAGUGGGGAAUAUUGCGCAAUGGGCGAAAGCCUGACGCAGCCAAUCCGCGUGGGUGAUGAAGGCC